ACUUACCAAACCGAUGCAAACUCCGAAUACCAAUGAGUACUAUCCGGGAGACAGACUGCGGGUGCUAACGUCCGUAGUCAAGAGGAAAACAAUCCAGACCGCCAGCUAAGGCCCCAAAAUUAUAGUUAAGUGGGAAACGAUGUGGGAAGGCAUAGACAGCUAGGAGGUUGGCUUAGAAGCAGCCAUCCUUUAAAGAAAGCGUAAUAGCUCACUGAUCGAGUCGUCCUGCGCGGAAGAUGUAACGGGGCUCAAGCCGGUUACCGAAGCUGCGGAUGCGUGGCAACAUGCAUGGUAGGAGAGCGUUCUGUAGGCCUGUGAAGGUGUCUGGUAACGGAUGCUGGAGGUAUCAGAAGUG
rnacentral:rRNA from 1 species